AGGUUCAUUUCAGCAACAUGUUUACUAACAUUGGAGCAAUACAGAAAAGAUGAGCACAGCCCUGGUACAAGGAGGACACUCAAAUUCCUGAAGUGUUCUGUAUGAUG
ensembl:snRNA U6 U6 spliceosomal RNA